rnacentral:misc_RNA from 1 species
UCGCAACCCUUGGCUCCGACGGCCAGCAGAUUGAUCUCAACGCGCCGGCGCCGGUCGCGAUCAUGAUGGUCGGUCUGCAGGGCUCCGGCAAAACCACCACCACCGCAAAACUGGCGCGCCGGCUGACCCAGCGCGACAAGAAAAAAGUUCUGAUGGCGUCGCUCGACGUCUAUCGCCCGGCUGCGCAGGAACAGCUCGCUGUGCUCGGCCGCGACCUGUCCAUCGAGACGCUGCCGAUCGUCGCGGGACAGA